UGGGGAAUAUUGGACAAUGGGCGAAAGCCUGAUCCAGCCAUGCCGCGUGUGUGAAGAAGGUCUUCGGAUUGUAAAGCACUUUAAGUUGGGAGGAAGGGCCAUUACCUAAUACGUGAUGGUUUUGACGUUACCGACAGAGUAAGCACCGGCUAACUCUGUGC
rnacentral:rRNA from 1 species